AGGCCAGGCUGGAUGUGGCUCUGGGCAGCCUGGUCUGCUGGUUGGUGACCCUGCGCAUGGCAUGGGGGUUGAAGCUAGAUGAGCAUUGUGCUCCUUGUCAGUGCAGGCAAUGCUGUGAUACUAUGAUUCUAUGAUUCUACGUUUCUUUGAAACAUCACAAACAUGCUUGUGUCGUGUCCUCUGUCAAGGCCUUGGCCUUUGAGUCUCUAUUGCUGUGGCCCUGUAUGCUGGGACAUCUUUCCCCACAUCCCCAGAAUCAUCUGGGCACUCAGUCUAUGCCACAAAUGCACAUGGACAUCAAAAGCAGGAGCUCCAUGGCAUUAAGCAAGCAGUGAGAGCAGAGUACACUGCAAUACAGCAGAACAUUUCUCAAGAUCAGGCUCAGCAAGACACAUUCAGCACUGAAGAUCUUCAGCACUGGUUUUUAUCCCAGGAGGUGAAUGGUUACUCUGGUACUGGGCAGUAUGAGCGGGGUAGAUGGGAGAUGAAGCAGAUGCCACUUGAGGAUCUUCUCUCUUCUGGAAUCAGCCUCCUCCUUACAGGAGAGAGCCUGCAUGGCUGUGAUGGAGAAAUGUGCUUGUUGAACCCCCAUGAGGAUUUGGUUUGUUUAAUCUGGCUAGAAUGAUGGUAAAAUGAGAGCAUUCUGCAAGAAUUUUCCUGGUGUGAGACAUCACCAAAAUUGAUCUCAUUUUAAACAUUCCACUGUGGCUGAUGAGAAAUGUGUGUGAAACUAUCUGCUGCUCAGAAGAGCUCCUCUUUCACAAUCCUUUCAUCAAACAAAACUAAGUAUUUGUGCUGGAUUUAUUUAUUUAUUUAUUUAUUCGUUCGUUCAUUCAUUGCACAGCCAUCUCUGGUGCACUACACCACGUUGUGACACCAGCUUUCAAAACCACUCUCCCCUGCUGCAAGGUUGCAGCAACAUUUCAAAAGCUCUUUGGUGCACCACAAGGAAAGCAUAACUCAGAAGAGGCAGAAUUGAUGUUUCAGAGAAGCUGUUCAUCACUCAUUAACGUCUCAGCUGUGUUGAGUGCAGUAGCAGUGAGAAAUGCAAGCUGCUGGGGGCUUUAGAAGUAGUUCAUCCAUGGAUGGUAAAUUGUACUGAGUCACUUCAUAGACAUUUUCCAACAAGAAACUAUCACAAAGCUAGAACUUUUAAGUGAAUGUUUAAAUCACUACAUAAUUGUUUUCAGGGUGAUAUCAGAACGUGGAAUAUACAUCUAGAAAUGUUAUUCUCACACAUUAAAAGUCAACAGAGUGUGUGGUUAAUGUACAAACCCCAACAAAGAUGAAUUCAGAUUAAGGACUUGUCUGAAGACACUGAUAUCUGAUAUGCAGUGCUUAGGGAUAUGCUGGGAAAUUGUAUUUAUAUUAGCUGAUUGCCAUUAACUUCUGAAGUGUGUUGUCCUUUUUUUCCCUCAUAGUCACAACAUUUCAGAAACAAGUGUGAAACAAUAGAUAAUUGCAUUUUACAACUAAAAAGAUAAAACUCCUGUGUAAGCAAUCACUGCUAAUCAGGAAUUUUGGUAUGGAAAGGAUGGGAGAGGAACAGAGCCGCACAUUUCCAAGCAUGAGAAGAUUUUGAAUCGAGUGGAAAUGGUUGGUGUCACACAGAGAAUAUGCUAUUU
rnacentral:lncRNA from 1 species